ACAGAAAGGCAGGAUGGUCUGAGAGCAUGUGCCCAGCUUACAGCCAGCCCAGAAGCUGUUGCCAGUGGGAUAUCACACACGGGCACCUGAGGCUCCACGCGCCUUUCUGCAUCGCCCCAGUGGCACAAGGUGACUACAGGAGAACCGGUGGAAAUGAAGGAAGAAUAUUCAUCUCCCAAUGCCUUGGGAUUUCCAGGCCUAAACUGCAGCUGGCGUGUGGCAAAAGUCUGAAAGAAAACUACAUUUCCUUCUGUCCAUACAUCUCAGGAUGGAAUUUGUCUCCCCAGACCUGGCACUUCAGAUUGCAGCUGGUCCCCAAAAUGCAGUCAGACAAUUGUAAGAGGAAGGAGUAAUCACUGACUGGAUCGACAGUUAUCAGCUGUGUAAGGGGUGCCGUCAGACGCUUCCACACAGACAUGACAAGUUUGGGUCACCCCCAAGGAGUUACAGCACAUCUCCAAGCCCUCUGCUCUCUCUCUCAUGGUGCUUGGGUGUCUGAUUCCCUUUCUGGGGGGACGCAGGAGGCUUUUAGGGCUGCCAAGGUUCGCUGGAGCCCUGACAACCGCGUGCCCGCAGUCCCAGCGCCGCCGCCAUCCGCGGCACCUC